rnacentral:misc_RNA from 1 species
UUUCCGUAGGUGAACCUGCGGAAGGAUCAUUAUCGUAAAACCGAGGUGCGAGGGUUGUCGCUGACCUUUUCGGUCGUGCACGCCCGAGCGCUCUCACACAAUCCAUCUCACCCCUUUUGCACCACCGCGUGGGUCCCUUUCUGGCUCGUCCGGAGGGGGGCUCGCGUUUUCACACAAACUUGAAGUAGUGUAAAAUGUCCUUUUUUUGCGAUAACACGCAAUCAAUACAACUUUCAACAACGGAUCUCUUGGCUCUC